UUUUUCAUCCUCUUUUAUCCAUUGAGGGACAUGGGUUGUCAUCAGUGACUGCCUGGAAUGCGGUGUGGUUGUGUUGUGAUAAGCACUGAUCGACCAAUCAUUUCUUUUGU
rnacentral:misc_RNA from 1 species